CCAUCCCAUCAAAGCACUUUUGAUUGUUUAGUUUUUCCUUUAGUAAUAAUCAAUAUGUAAGUCUUUAUAUAUUGGUUCACUUCAACAUUUUUAUGUGAAAAUUUAACAAUUUUCAGGGUCCUUUUUUUUUGGGGGGGGGGGGUGGGGGUGCAGAUGAAGAGCUUGUAAAGGAGAUGUUAAUUGAAGGGACUAUUCAUCCAUCAUUCUAUUUCCUCUACAUUUCCAGGUAACUAAUUGUCCCCUGUUUUCUUUUUAAAAAAAAAAUAUGAAAGAGGCCCUUUCUUCUUAAGAUGGUACCAUUACUUCUAAAGAAUCAAAUAAAUUGAGGCAAACAAAAUCAUUUAGCAUGUGGCUUUGCAUGACACUACUUUAAAUUAACAUUGUUAAAAACAAUGACAAUUAAAGUAGUGUCCUGCAAAUUUAUAAGCUAAAUAAAGCUUCCACCAGUAACUCUUAAUACUAAUAUUCUUAUUCUUGAAAAAAUAAGUCAAUUAAAGUAGAAAAAUUUAAACUUAAAGGAUCAUUUCCGUCACUAGGAAUCUUUUAAGUCAACAUUAAUUUCUCCCAAUUAAAGGUUGUGCUUUAUCAUCCAAAGCAACAACGAUGGUCAAAGAGUUUUAGAUGAGUGAGGAGGGAAGUGAGUUUUAGAUAGGUGGGAUACAUGGCUUAAGUCCACCCUAGAAUUGCUUGUAGAUCGAAUUAUCCAUUCAAGUCCAAAAGUCUAUUUUAAAAAUGAACUUUGCUAGAAUUUAAUAUUUAUUUUUUAUAUGAGUCGGGCUUUAAAUAAAAAAAUAAGUUUAUUUUCAGGUUGGUUAAGUCUGAGUUUGAAAAAUUAUUCUAGAUACUUUACAUGUACCCGAUUCGACUCAAUUUAUAUGCUUCUCUAAUCAAGCCUCUUGAACUUGGUAGAUGAUGUCAAAAUUCGACUUCGUCCGUUUGAUAGGCUAAUGUUAUGGACUGUGCAUUAAAACUUGUGAUCAAAGCAAACAGAACUAUUUAAGGAUGUCAAUUGAUUAAAUUAAAUUUACUUAACCCAUUUGGAUCAACUCUGUUCAUAAAACAUAUCAAGAAGUUUAUAUACUUAUAACUUGGUGGUUUAAUCAAACACUUGUGAGUAUUUAUCCAAACUUUAGUAUGGAUUAUUUCUCUUAGCUUAAACUUCCGUGACACUAACAUGUGGCUCUACCAUUAUAGAAUCUACAAGUUUGUGUUCCAUUCACAAUGCUGUUGCAGAGUAAAUUCUUCUGGUUCUUUCUUGUCAGAUGUGAUAUAUCAAAGGCAUCACUAAAAUUUUCCGAUGUCUUGUCUUUCAUAAUUUGGCUGUGUUAUCAAAUUAAAGGAAACGUGGCAAAAUAACAUAGUGGCAGUGGCAGAGGCAUCGCGAUAUUUACCAAAUUUUCCCGACUGAUUUGAGCCGUACGACUUGUUGCUUGAAUCUUCCUAUCAAUGCUUCGAAGGUUUCUGCACAUCCCUUUCUCUAACAUCAGUCAGUCAAAUGAAAAGGCGUUGUGAUCAUGCAUUUGUUACCCUGUGAAACGACACGUUUAGCCUACAAUCAUUCAAGCACUUCCAUUACGAAAUUUCGUUGUACCCAUACAACACAAAAGGGCAAAACAAAGAUUCUUUAAUUAAAAUAACCAACAAUUUAACCAUGGCAAUGGAACAAAUUAGGAUACAUAGCCCGGAAAGUGUGGCCCCAAUGUGCACAUGCUCUCAACAAAGCAUGUCGGAACAAAGAUUUGGGUGCCCUAAUAAGCAUCAAUGAAAUUUACAAACACCACAGUUUAGACCGACCUUUAUAGGAAAAUAGCUAAUACAAAAACACAUCUACUUUACAACCAAAAUGCUGUGGGACAGAAUGAUUAUAAACAAAUGGCCUUAAAUUAUAAUUACUAAUAUUCAAAUUAUUCAAAAAUAUAUGCAUUAAUGCAUAUCCACAAGAAUCUUCCAUCACAUCCAGUUCGCCCAUUAUAGCUGGAACAAACCCAUGUCUGAACCCACCCUUAUAUUAUUAUAUAUACACCAACACAUAUUUGUAUAUGAUAUCCAUCACAUCUAGCUAUUGUUGCAUUAUUGUAUUCUUGUUUGUGCCAUAUAAGAGGUGGACUACUAAAGGUACACCUUCACCCUAAACCUGAAUCUGCAUAAUGACAGCUUCAGACAGUGUUUAAUUCUAUAUCUCCUUUUUGAAAGGGCUGAUUAAUAUAUAUUGAAAAGAAAAAAGUAUACUCAGCCAGGCCCAACAUCAAGGUCUACUAAUUUUAUUUUUCUUUCCUUUUUGUUUGUUUCACUUCUUUGUUUCCUUUUGCUAUUUUUGCGGUGUUUUUUGUUUAAGGGAUAAAUAGUGUACCUAAAUUUUAAUUUUAAUGUGUAGUUAUAUAUAUAUAAUUUUAAUUAUAUUCAAUUUUUAUAAAUUAUUAAUACAAUUAAUGAUAUAGCAUCUGUUUAUGUUUAUAUACUGUAUAUACAAAUAAUUACAUUUAUUAUCUAAAAAAUAAAUUGAUCUAUUUAUUUUUUAAAAAAUAUAUAAAUGAAUCAAAUAAAAAUUUUAUAUAAACAUUUCAAAACCUAAUCAAAAUUUUAUUCUAAUUAAAAUUCAUAUAUAAUUUCGACUUAAUUGUAGAAUGUUAAACCUUAGGUGAUAGACUAUAGUAUUUAAAAUAAAGAAAAAUUAUUGUUUGCCGGUAAGUGGAAUUAAAAAAUUCGACAAGUAGAAGUAAGACAUAGCAUGUGUCUUUAGAUAAUAUUAAAAAAUAAAAAUUAGUUAAAAGUAGAUAAAUUCAUUCAUUUAACCUUAAACAACCAACAAAAAAAUAACACUAAAAAAAAAACAAAAACAAAACAUAGCAUUCUAUGAAGUUAACAAUUAAUAUAUAACCAUAGAUUUUAGUUUUUCUUUUUCCAUUUUUGGUUCUUGAUGUUUCUUUAAUAAGCUGUCUGAUCUAAGUGUUUUUUUUCUUGUUACUAAUAUUCAGAUUAAAAAUGACAACAAAAUAUUGAAAAAUAGAAGGAAAAAAAUCUAUCUCAACAUUUCCGGGGCAAUUUCUAGUUAAUUAAUCAAUCUCAGAAAGGGGAAAAUUACCCCCCCCCCAAAAAAAAAAAAAGAAUUCUUAGAGUAACAAAUAUAUUUAAGAGAGAAAAAAAAUUGAACCGGACAACAUGUAUAAUUAAUAUAUAUGCAUGGUUUAAAGAUCUUUCCAUGGUUUGAUCUCAGAGUCAUCCCAUGGAAUGUUGAGAUCAGUAGAGACAAGUGCAUCAAUAUCAUCCCAAUUCCAGUAGUUUGCCAUUUCAAUGCCAUUGCUGGUAAUAGGUUCUUGCCAGGUCUGUGAACCUGUUGGAUCCCCCCUCGUUUCUCCACUAUAGUUGUAGAGACUCGAAGACUGAAACGAGGCUGAUAUUGAAGAUGGGGAUGUUUCCAAAGAAUAUGAGCUUGAACUUGAAAAUGGAAACGGCAUAGGAAAUGGAGUCUGUAAGCCUUGAGACAUGGUAGAAUCCAAGCAGACUCCAUUGUUUGUGCUGAAAAUUUCUCUCUCCGAGUUUCUGCAAUUUACAGAAUUUUGCUGCAACGAUGAAUGAAAUUUGAUGUUCGGUAUGUACUUUUGAUCGGCAGGCGGAAGCUGAUGCGGUUGAAUAGCGGAAGAGGUGGAGCUUUUGAUGGUAGUAGUGGUUGUUUUACUGGCAGAAGCGGCGGCGGAUGUCUGAUGCCGCUUGUUUUUACGGCCUCCACCAACGGGAACAUUGCGAAGAUUACCACCUUUAGUCCAAUGUCUUUUACAGGUCUUGCAAAAAUACCUAGGUUGUGACUUGUUAUAGUUGUUAUAAUAACAGAACUUUGUGUUGGAAGAAUCACACCUUGGACACUUCAAUGGCGGUUCCGAUUGCUGCAGCUGGUUUUCUUGAUGAUGUCGCCUUUUCAUUGAUGAAGCUUUUGGACG
rnacentral:lncRNA from 1 species